GACUGAGAUGGCUCAGUUGGUGGAGCAUGAGCUUCUUAAGAUUCAGGGUUGUGGGUUCGAACCCCACACUGGGCCA